UACGGAGGAUGCAAGCGUUAUCCGGAAUUAUUGGGCGUAAAGCGUCCGUAGGUGGCUUUACAAGUCAGCUGUUAAAGCGUGGAGCUUAACUCCAUAAAGGCAGUUGAAACUGUGAGGCUAGAGUGCGGUAGGGGUAAGGGGAAUUCCCAGUGUAGCGGUGAAAUGCGUAGAUAUUGGGAAGAACACCGGUGGCGAAAGCGCCUUGCUGGACCUGCACUGACACUGAGGGACGAAAGCGUGGGGAGCAAACAGG
rnacentral:rRNA from 1 species